GACGAACCGCCCGAACGUUAUUCGGAAUCACUGGGCUUAAAGGGUGCGUAGGCGGCCCGGCAAGUUGGGUGUGAAAUCCCUCGGCUCAACCGAGGAACGGCGCCCAAAACUGCCAGGCUAGAGGGAGAUAGAGGUGAGCGGAACUUAUGGUGGAGCGGUGAAAUGCGUUGAUAUCAUAAGGAACACCUGUGGCGAAAGCGGCUCACUGGAUCUUUUCUGACGCUGAGGCACGAAAGCUAGGGGAGCGAACGGG
rnacentral:rRNA from 1 species